rnacentral:misc_RNA from 1 species
GAUGAAGAACGUAGCGAAAUGCGAUAAGUAAGGUGAAUUGCAGAAUUCAGUGAAUCAUCGAAUCUUUGAACGCACAUUGCGCCCGCCAGUAUUCUGGCGGGCAUGCCUGUUCGAGCGUCAUUACAACCCUCAGGCCCCCGGGCCUGGCGUUGGGGAUCGGCGGAAGCCCCCUGCGGGCACAACGCCGUCCCCCAAAUACAGUGGCGGUCCCGCCGCAGCUUCCAUUGCGUAGUAGCUAACACCUCGCAACUGGAGAGCGGCGCGGCCACGCCGUAAAACACCCAACUUCUGAAUGUUGACCUCGAAUCAGGUAGGAAUACCCGCUGAACUUAAGCAUAUCAAUAAGCGGAGGA